AUUGAACGCUGGCGGCAGGCCUAACACAUGCCAGUCGAACGGUAACAGGAAGAAGCUUGCUUCUUUGCUGACGAGUGGCGGACGGGUGAGUAAUGUCUGGGAAACUGCCUGAUGGAGGGGGAUAACUACUGGAAACGGUAGCUAAUACCGCAUAACGUCGCAAGACCAAAGAGGGGGACCUUCGGGCCUCUUGCCAUCGGAUGUGCCCAGAUGGGAUUAGCUAGUAGGUGGGGUAACGGCUCACCUAGGCGACGAUCCCUAGCUGGUCUGAGAGGAUGACCAGCCACACUGGAACUGAGACACGGUCCAGACUCCUACGGGAGGCAGCAGUGGGGAAUAUUGCACAAUGGGCGCAAGCCUGAUGCAGCCGUGCCGCGUGUAUGAAGAAGGCCUUCGGGUUGUAAAGUACUUUCAGCGGGGAGGAAGGGAGUAAAGUUAAUACCUUUACUCAUUGACGUUACCCGCAGAAGAAGCACCGGCUAACUCCGUG
rnacentral:rRNA from 1 species